UGACGACGUGCUUGCCUUCGAAAAUUAUGAUUCCUCAAAAAAUUAAUGUCUGUUCCUGUCACUUUACUUUUUGUGCAGAAUGUAUAUAUAGGGGGGUGGUAGUACUCUUGGGGUAGACAGGCAUGUGCUGGGAUGGCAUGCCAAGGCAUGUGCUGGGAUGGCAUGCCAAGGCAUGUGCUGGGAUGGCAUGCCAAGGACAAGCAUGUGCUGGGAAGGCAUGCCAAGGCCAAGACAAGGCCAAGGCAAGCACAUGCAUCGUGAGCGAGAUGAGACGGUUACAUUUACCCCAAGAGUGCCCAAGCAGGUGGUGUCAAACGCAUACUGAGCCCCACUUCGGUAGUUUGGCACGACAACAUAGACAUUCAGGCAAGCGUGUCUAUGGUUAACGUCUGUUCAGCUUGCCAGCCAUGUUGGGUAUUAUUCUACGGAUGAGAUGAUGGCACAAGGAUGAUUGCUGGUAACGUUUUGGCACCAGACCGCAUUGCUAGUUCAAGCUUCAGCGGGUGGAAAUAUGCCUAUACGGGCGUUGCUUGCUUGUUGUGGAGUUGGGACACGCCCAAUAUCUAUCAUCGACCUAGGUAAUUCCUGCAUGGCCCCAUAGGCAUAUUCACGCAAGCGUGCCUAUGGGUAAAGUCCCUGGAGCUUGCCAACAACCAUGUUAGCUGUAGUCUGGAUCGAUGAUGGCACAAGGAUGCUUGCUUUAAGGUAACAUUCUGGCAGCACAGCCAGCCCGCAAUUGCUAGUUCAAGCGGGUGGAAUCUGCCUAUAGGGGUGUUGCUUGCUUGCUGUGGAUUUGGGACACGCCCAAUAUCUAUCAUCGACCCAACGAAGUGCUCAACAUGGGUUGCUGAGGGCUAUUUUGGCACAGAUGCUUCACUCGUUUGCUUGGCUUUGAUAAAUGUUUAGAUGUCAUGAUGCUUGGGAUCCAAUAAAUUUAUGUGGGAAGCUGAGAGCUGGAACCCAAUGUCAUUCACCAGACGGUUUAGCUUCGUCAGUGUGUAUAAUAUGUCAUUGAACCCCAAUCCUCUAUGCCGACCUGAUUAUGACUUUUGGAUCGCAAUUAUCAUGGCUAUCAAAAACUGAGUAGGAGUCAUGGAAUAAGUGAACAAUUUGUGGCCUUUAUAGCUGUCAGCUUUCGCAUCGCCCGGUGUGUUUUGGGAAUCGCUUUGUGCAUUUGGUUGCCUGCCGUGCCUCUUGGCAUACGGUUGGUGCCACUUGCCGGGUGGUUUUCGGAAACAUCCACCGUAAAGGUGCAUGAGUGGUGUUUGGUUUGUUACGGGUGGUUGGCUCUUUGCUUGCGCAACAACUGCCACCCGACUUACCUCUUCAGUUUUUGCCUAGGCUUGUAUAGCCUAAGCAGAUUGUGGGUUUCCUGUGUUGCCUACCUACGUCACGGAAUUGUCCCGAUCGAUCAAAGUUUCUUUCGUCUUGUGUCGUCUUGAUGGCAUAAGAUGAACCAUGAAGCUGUCUCUUUGCACCGCAUCGUUAAUGCAUGCAUUGAUGUUGUGGCCCAUUGAGCAUUGCUUGGUACCUCGGAUACGGAACCUUAUGUGGGCAUGGGUCCUUAGGGAUCCUUGUUCUGCCCUCGUUUAGCGUUCGCGCUUCUCUUAGAAUGACUGCCCAGCCGGAAUGGGAAGCCAUUCUGGAUGGGCAUCGUCAAAGAGGAAUGC
rnacentral:misc_RNA from 1 species